GUCGCCCGCCGGACGAACCUUUGAAUUUUUCUCAAGGUUGACCUCGGAUCAGGUAGGGAUACCCGCUGAACUUAA
rnacentral:rRNA from 1 species